AAUCGGUGAUGUGGACAACAUCUCAAUAGGUCCUUAAACCUCUCCCAUGCAUCGUACAUGCUUUCAUCAUCAAACUACAUAAAGAAGAUAUGUCAUUUCUAAGUUU
rnacentral:snoRNA from 1 species